rnacentral:rRNA from 1 species
GGAACGGGCAGUUACCGCCGUUGUUGUUUCGGGCCAGCGGACCCCGUCCUCUCCGGCGUCGCGCGUCUUUGCCCUCCGUCGCUCGUACCGCUGCGGCACCCUGUCGAGGAGCUCGGCGGACACCCCGCGGGACCCCGUCCGGAGGUCGCACCGUGUCGACCAGCCGCACCUGCGCGAGCCCGACCAGAGGUACCACCACGUCCGGCGGGACCGCCGCGCCGCGGUGGCCCUGCGGACGCACGUCGAGCGUGUCGUGCAGCUCGAGCAGCCCCCGGACGAGCCCCUCGACCUCGAGCUGCUCGACUACGCCGCCCUCCGGUGGUCCGCCGGCGACCUCGUCGAGCCUCGGCGCAACGCCGCCACGAUACGCGAGCGAUGCCGCACGGUCCUGACGCCGAUGGAGGCGGCAGACGAGGACCCGCCUGCCUACCGGCUGCUCGAGACGCGGCGCGUCGUGCUCUAGCUGUACAAGUAGGCGGAGUAGGGCGAGUAGCGGGAGCAACUGUUAAGCUGUUUAUGAGCGGCACGGUACGUCCAGCUCCUCCCCCACGAGUCACAUCAGUGUCUAUCAAGUUUAGUAGUGUAGUCUAAAGGUCGUUCUCUAAACCUCAAGUGGUUUUAUGCGCAAGUUCCUCGAUGUCUUGAAGCGUUACAAGUUCUUGUCGGUAAACAUCCGUUUCACCUGGACGUUCUCGUCUUUUAGAGGUUGCAACUUCUUGAAUACCUCGAAACACGGGUAUAUCUUCGCUGAACGUACCCUAAGAGUUUCAAGUUGAAGAAAGUCUAGUACCUACCAUGUCCUUUAAAGAGUCUUUUCCGUUAUUAACCUGCCCCACCUAAACGGUGCCAAAUGUUCACACUCAACAGGCUACCUCAAUGCCAACGGUAGUUCUCUCGAGUACUCAUGCGUUGUGAGCCGUCACUUAACGUCGAACGUUUCGAAGUUGUAUGGUUAGACUAAUCCAAUGAACCCACCACGUAAGUACUCUUUCUUUCCUAAGAUCAGAUACUCAAGUACGUGUUACCAAGGAACCUGGCAGUGUAUAUGCUGUCUUGUUUUCCCGGUAACGAUCUGACCAGAUUCGCUGAGUUCUAUUAGUUUCCCAAUUAUCUCCCCGAACAAAUGUACGUGUUUCCGAGGUACAAUACCUAACAGUUAUCCCUGAACUUUGGUUUAUUAUAGGAGAACCUAAUAUUGUACUUGGGUUCCUAACGACUAAAACCUAGUCGAUCUCGUGACUCAAGUCUACAUCGUCUUCUUGUAUGUUUGUACCAACACCCGUGAACCAUACUCGAGUUUGUUAAGCAAUGUCUAAGGUGGUAACGUCAAAACUAGAGAAAACAAACGUGAAAAGUCACCAAUGUUUCGAGGCCUCAUACGUAGAGCUCCUCAAAUGAGUCACUUCUGCCUACACAAGUCGAAACCGCAGAACCAAGACCGUUAGUAUUCGCCUGCCUUCUUAUGGUAUGAGCUCUUUGUUCCCCUAUGACAACCACUGGAACAUGCGAUGCGGACCGUAUACACCUUCCUGGUUUCUAACGUACUCGAACAACUAGGCAGAGAUCCCUUGCCUAUACUUUAGCGGCUCUAUUGUGCAACACGAGUCUACCGUGAGGAAACACGGGUCCUUCUAGGUCGUCUAGCCGAGUGGUACUGUCUACAACGGUGGUACGACUUGAAACUUUCGUACUCGAAUAGUUACCUCGGAUUCGUCGGAUGUCACGACUCAUUUCAUUCACUACCACUUUCGUGCCGUAGAUGUAUGUACCCGGUUAGUUCGUCCUGUUAUCUGUAUUGGUAGUGCUCGAGUCGAGGGUACAGCUGAUCUCAAGCUUAGCAAGACUUGGGCCUCCAAACUAUACUUCUUUUAUUAAGUUACCACUGUAGUACAUAGGUAUAUAUCAACUUUACACUUAUUCCCGGUACCCGUAAGCAGCAGGUCCUAUCACCUGGUUAAGGUCUAUAAUGACACUUCCCCGUUGAACAAAAAAGAAACCAGUUCGGUAAAAACACUUUUAUAGUUCUAUUUUUUUUGUUCCGGACUAAAAAAGGUCCCUUUAUCACCCAAAAUAAGGAGCCAUUAUCACAAUGUCAUACGAUUAUGUUUCAAUCCCUGUGACAGACCUUGUACCGCGUUGGUUGUUUGUCACGAUGGAGGUCAUGUAGUUAUAAUCAACCCGAUAUUCGUUGAGAUAAAAACCACUGUGAGUUAAAAGACGCCUUAUUUGGGUGAACGAGGGCC